rnacentral:rRNA from 1 species
CUGGGCUUGACAUAUAGAGGAUCGCUACAGAGAUGUGGUUUCCCUUGUGGCUUCUAUACAGGUGGUGCAUGGUUGUCGUCAGCUCGUGUCGUGAGAUGUUGGGUUAAGUCCCGCAACGAGCGCAACCCUUGUCUUAUGUUGCCAGCACGUUAUGGUGGGGACUCGUGAGAGACUGCCGGGGUCAACUCGGAGGAAGGUGGGGAUGACGUCAAAUCAUCAUGCCCCUUAUGUCCAGGGCUUCACACAUGCUACAAUGGCCGGUACAGAGGGCUGCGAUGCCGUGAGGCGGAGCGAAUCUCUUAAAGCCGGUCUCAGUUCGGAUUGGGGUCUGCAACUCGACCCCAUGAAGUCGGAGUCGCUAGUAAUCGCAGAUCAGCAACGCUGCGGUGAAUACGUUCCCGGGCCUUGUACACACCGCCCGUCACGUCAUGAAAGUCGGUAACACCCGAAGCCGGUGGCCUAACCCUUGUGGAGGGAGCCGUUNAAGGUGGGGUUGGCGAUUGGGACG